UACGUAGGAGGCGAGCGUUGUCCGGAGUUACUGGGCGUAAAGCGCACGCAGGCGGUCAGAUCAGUCUGGAGUGACAGUCGUCGGCUUAACCGACGAAGUGUUCUGGAAACUGUCUGACUUGAGGGCUUCAGAGGGACACGGAAUUCCGGGUGGAGUGGUGAAAUGCGUAGAUAUCCGGAGGAACACCAAUGGCGAAGGCAGUGUCCUGGGAAGUACCUGACGCUCAGG
rnacentral:rRNA from 1 species